UACAGAGGGUGCGAGCGUUAAUCGGAAUUACUGGGCGUAAAGCGCACGUAGGCGGCGUGAUAAGUUGGAUGUGAAAUCCCCGGGCUUAACUUGGGAAUUGCAUUCAAGACUGUCGCGCUGGAGUAUGGGAGAGAGAAGUGGAAUUCCAGGUGUAGCGGUGAAAUGCGUAGAUAUCUGGAGGAACAUCAGUGGCGAAGGCGGCUUCUUGGCCCAAUACUGACGCUGAGGUGCGAAAGCGUGGGGAUCAAACAGG
rnacentral:rRNA from 1 species